rnacentral:rRNA from 1 species
GACGAACGCUGGCGGCGUGCUUAACGCAUGCAAGUCGAACGGAAAGGCCCUGCUUUUGUGGGGUGCUCGAGUGGCGAACGGGUGAGUAACACGUGAGUAACCUGCCCUUGACUUUGGGAUAACUUCAGGAAACUGGGGCUAAUACCGGAUAGGAGCUCCUGCUGCAUGGUGGGGGGUGGAAAGUUUCGGCGGUUGGGGAUGGACUCGCGGCUGAUCAGCUUGUUGGUGGGGUAGUGGCUUACCAAGGCUUUGACGGGUAGCCGGCCUGAGAGGGUGACCGGCCACAUUGGGACUGAGAUACGGCCCAGACUCCUACGGGAGGCAGCAGUGGGGAAUAUUGCACAAUGGGCGGAAGCCUGAUGCAGCAACGCCGCGUGCGGGAUGACGGCCUUCGGGUUGUAAACCGCUUUCGCCUGUGACGAAGCGUGAGUGACGGUAAUGGGUAAAGAAGCACCGGCUAACUACGUG